GAGAGAUGAGCUGCACACACUGACUAUAUUUCUGCAAAAGACAUACCCCCAGCCUGUGGCAGAAGGCUGCUUUCAGAGACAGUGUCUGCCAUGAAAGUCUAUGGAGCUUACUUUCUUACAGAGGUCCUCAUGGGCGGAGCAAUGGAGCACCAUCCCACAAGUCUGGCAGCAGCCCACCGUCCCCAAGGGAAAAAGACCUUGUGUCUAUGCUGUGCAGAAAUCCACUGAGCCCCAGUAACAUCCAUCCUAGCUACGCCCCUUCUUCUCCAAGUAGCAGCAACUCCGGCUCCUACAAAGGAAGCGAUUGUAGUCCAGUCAUGAGGAGGUCUGGACGAUAUAUGUCUUGUGGAGAAAAUCAUGGCGUCAAACCCCCAAAUCCAGAA
rnacentral:lncRNA from 1 species